rnacentral:misc_RNA from 1 species
AUUCCAUGGUGAACAAGCUGAGUAAUUGCAGUCAACGCAGUAGUCUCUUGGCCACCUCCUUGAGAGCCAGUACUGUAGAAAAGGCCCGCUGGCUUGCCUGCAAGCUGCUGAGUUCUCCAGAGACCACCAGUGGCAUCAAGAAAUGCCUUGAACUGAGCAGCCAUCAUCCCAAAUCUUGUUGGGAAUCCAAACACAAAGCCAUCAGCUUCAGCAAGGUCAUUGGGUGUGAUAAUUGGUGCAUCGCCUUUUGCUGGUCCACCCAUCUUUCCAAGAACCUCUUCUGAAAGAGUUUCUGGUACCUGCCAUAGUUUGGCUUCUACGCCUUCAACUGAUGCGGCUCCUUUCUUUAUCUCUUGUGCUAGCUUCUCAACAUGUCCAUACAUGGAGUAGUAAACAAUGUAGACUUUGGUUGCCAUUUGAAAGGGAAAGUAGUAGGUGGAUGAAUGAGUUGUUGUUGGAAUAGAAUAGAAAAGAAAGAGAAUGGAGAAGGAAGCAGAA